rnacentral:rRNA from 1 species
UACGAAGGGGGCUAGCGUUGUUCGGAUUUACUGGGCGUAAAGCGCACGUAGGCGGAUUGUUAAGUCGGGGGUGAAAUCCUGGAGCUCAACUUCAGAAUUGCCUUCGAUACUGGCUUUCUAGAGGCUGGAAGAGGUUAGUGGAAUUCCCAGUGUAGAGGUGAAAUUCGUAGAUAUUGGGAAGAACACCAGUGGCGAAGGCGGCUAACUGGUCCAGAUCUGACGCUGAGGAGCGAAAGCCAGGGGAGCAAACAGG